AUACGGAGGAUCCGAGCGUUAUCCGGAUUUAUUGGGUUUAAAGGGUGCGCAGGCGGCCAUUUAAGUCAGCGGUUAAAUCGUGGGGCUCAACCCCAUUCUGCCGUUGAUACUGGGUGGCUUGAUUGCGGUCGAGGUUGGCGGAAUUCGUUGUGUAGCGGUGAAGUGCAUAGAUAUGACGAAGAACACCGAUUGCGUAGGCAGCUGACCAGACCGCAAAUGACGCUCAUGCACGAAAGUGCGGGGAUCGAACAGGAUUAGAUACCCUGGUAGUCCGCACGGUAAACGAUGAAUACUUGUUUUCGGCGAUAUAAUGUCGGAGGCAAAGCGAAAGCGAUAAGUAUUCCACCUGGGGAGUACGCCGGCAACGGUGAAACUCAAAUGAAUUGGCGGGG
rnacentral:rRNA from 1 species